rnacentral:rRNA from 1 species
GAUGAACGCUGGCGGCGUGCCUAAUACAUGCAAGCCGAGCGAAUGGAUUAAGAACUUGCUCUUAUGAAGUUAGCGGCGGACGGGUGAGUAACACGUGGGUAACCCGCCCAUAAGACUGGGAUAACUCCGGGAAACCGGGGCUAAUACCGGAUAACAUUUUGAACCGCAUGGUUAGAAAUUGAAAGGCGGCUUCGGCUGUCACUUAUGGAUGGACCCGCUUCGCAUUAGCUAGUUGGUGAGGUAACGGCUCACCAAGGCAACGAUGCGUAGCCGACCUGGGAGGGUGAGCGGCCACACUGGGACUGAGACACGGCCCAGACUCCUACGGGAGGCAGCAGUAGGGAAUCUUCCGCAAUGGACGAAAGUCUGACGGAGCAACGCCGCGUGAGUGAUGAAGGCUUUCGGGUCGUAAAACUCUGUUGUUAGGGAAGAACAAGUGCUAGCUGAAUAAGCUGGCACCUUGACGGUACCUAACCAGAAAGCCACGGCUAACUACGUGCCAGCCGCCGCCGUAA